GACGGGCAAUUUUGUACUUAUUUUAUUAUAUUAUUUCAAAAUAAUUUAUUUAUUAAAUUUACUAUGGAAUCCACUUUUAAAAUAAAAUUAAAUUUAUUUAUUCAUUAUUAUUAUUAUAUAUUUAAUAAUUGUAACCCAUAUUAAUCUUAAAUAAAGAAUAUUAUGACUUGAAUUUAUUUAUAUAUAAAAAUUUAAAAACUUAUUUAUUAAUAAUCUAUUAACAGCAAUACAUAAACUUUUAAUUAAGUAUAUCUUAUUGUGGAUUAUCACAGGCUAUACUGGUUCCUCUAAAAUUCUAAAAUACCGCCAAAUCUAUGUUAAACUAGGGGAUGAUACCCUAUUAUUAUAAUUAAAUUUAAUUAAAUUAAUUAUAAAUUAUUAAAUGUUAAAUCAUUAAAUUUAAAAGAUUUGGCGGUAUUUUAGAAAGUUAGAGGAACCUGUAUAGUAAUUGAUAAUCCACAAUAAGAUAUACUUAAUUAAAAGUUUAUGUAUUGCUGUUUAAAGAUUAUUAAUAAAUAAGUUUUUAAAUUUUUAUAUAUAAAUAAAUUCAAGUCAAAAUAUAAUUUAGUUAAGAUUAAUAUGGGUUACNAAUUAUUUAAUAUAUAAUAAUAAUAAUGAAUAAAUAAAUUUAAUUUUAUUUUAAAAGUGGAUUUAAUAGUAAAUUUAAUAAAUAAAUUAUUUUGAAAUAAAAUAAUAAAAUAAGUACAAAUUGCCCGUCACUUUCAAUAAAAUGGAAUAAGUCGAAACAAAGUA
rnacentral:rRNA from 1 species